AACGAACGCUGGCGGCAGGCCUAACACAUGCAAGUCGAACGCCUCAGCAAUGAGGAGUGGCAGACGGGUGAGUAACGCGUGGGCAACCUGCCUUUCACUGGGGGGAUAACACAGGGAAACUUGUGCUAAUACCGCAUAACAUCACGAGAUGACAUCAUCAUGUGAUCAAAGGAGUAAUCCGGUGAUAGAUGGGCCCCGCGUCCGAUUAGCUAGUUGGUGGUGUAAUGGACCACCAAGGCGACGAUCGGUAGCCGAACUGAGAGGUUGAUCGGCCACAUUGGGACUGAGACACGGCCCAGACUCCUACGGGAGGCUG
rnacentral:rRNA from 1 species